rnacentral:rRNA from 1 species
UACAGAGGUCUCAAGCGUUGUUCGGAUUCAUUGGGCGUAAAGGGUGCGUAGGUGGCGUCGUAAGUCAGGUGUGAAAUUUCGGAGCUUAACUCCGAAACUGCAUUUGAUACUGCGGUGCUUGAGGACUGGAGAGGAGACUGGAAUUUACGGUGUAGCAGUGAAAUGCGUAGAGAUCGUAAGGAAGACCAGUGGCGAAGGCGGGUCUCUGGACAGUUCCUGACACUGAGGCAACGAAGGCCAGGGGAGCAAACGGG